AUGAAUGUUCCUCCGGUAAACAUAGUGCUUGGACAAUUGUGGUUAAACUCCUCCAUAUGGCUUAAAGAUGCUUGUUAUAACCUCAUAUGCAAAUUACAGUUUUAUUGUGUUGCUAAGAAAAAGAAUGUUCCUGCAGUUUGUUCCUGUGUAGAUCCAUUGGAUCAACACUUCAUCAAACUGGAAGUUGAAUUGGUGUCAUAUUCCCUACAUGUUAAGAUCUAUUUAUGUAUUCUAAUUAAGCUUUAUCGUAACUUGAAAUUAGCAAACAUGUUCAGUGUGAAAGCUAAACUAAAUGGUUGCAACAUGUCUUGGAUUCUUCAUGGAUGCAGAAUGCGGAAGCUUAAAUUGGUCAUAAGUGUCUCUUUUUUCUUUAGAACCUCUUGGGUGGCAUGUUAG
rnacentral:rRNA from 1 species